rnacentral:rRNA from 1 species
GAUGAACGCUGGCGGCGUGCUUAACACAUGCAAGUCGAGCGAGAAGUUUUGAAAAGAUUCUUCGGAUGAAAUUUAAAAUGGAAAGCGGCGGACGGGUGAGUAACGCGUAGGCAACCUGCCCCAUACAAAGGGAUAGCAUUUGGAAACGAAUAUUAAUACCUUAUGAAACUUAACUAGUGCAUGCUAGGUAGGUCAAAGAUUUAUCGGUAUGGGAUGGGCCUGCGUCUGAUUAGCUAGUUGGUGAGGUAACGGCUCUCCAAGGCGACGAUCAGUAGCCGACCUGAGAGGGUGAACGGCCACAUUGGAACUGAGACACGGUCCAAACUCCUACGGGAGGCAGCAGUGGGGAAUAUUGCACAAUGGGGGAAACCCUGAUGCAGCAACGCCGCGUGAACGAUGAAGGCCUUUGGGUCGUAAAGUUCUGUUCUAGGUGAUGAAAACUGACAGUAACCUAGGAGAAAGCCCCGGCUAACUCCGUG